AACGAACGCUGGCGGCAGGCUUAACACAUGCAAGUCGAGCGCCCCGCAAGGGGAGCGGCAGACGGGUGAGUAACGCGUGGGAAUCUACCCAUCUCUGCGGAAUAGCUCCGGGAAACUGGAAUUAAUACCGCAUACGUCCUUCGGGAGAAAGAUUUAUCGGAGAUGGAUGAGCCCGCGUUGGAUUAGCUAGUUGGUGGGGUAAUGGCCUACCAAGGCGACGAUCCAUAGCUGGUCUGAGAGGAUGAUCAGCCACACUGGGACUGAGACACGGCCCAGACUCCUACGGGAGGCAGCAGUGGGGAAUAUUGGACAAUGGGCGAAAGCCUGAUCCAGCCAUGCCGCGUGAGUGAUGAAGGCCCUAGGGUUGUAAAGCUCUUUCACCGGUGAAGAUAAUGACGGUAACCGGAGAAGAAGCCCCGGCUAACUUCGUGCCAGCCGCCGCCGUAACAC
rnacentral:rRNA from 1 species